GGGGGAUGCUGGCGCUGCUGGCUUGGACUAACUGGGACCAGAAACACCUCCCUGGGUCCCGUGUCCCCCCUUAACGGGCCUCUCUCCUCCUUUCCAAGGGAUUCCAGCCCAGGGAGCCCACCCUAAUUCUCUGGGCGGCCAUACAGUUCUCAAAAGGACAGUGCUGGCAGCUUGCUUGAAAAGAAGUCAGACCCGUGGCGGGCUCCUCUAGGCUGGAUUCACGACCAUUAGCCAAGUGUGGGUCAGACCAGGAUCAAAGCUGCUGAAUCCUUACUGAUACUCAUUCAUUCAUUCAAACAUUUGGAGAUAGAGGGCUGACUGAACACAGGUUACUGCCUUUGAGAAGCCCCCACAGAUGUUAAACAAAUGCUGAGUGAAUGAAUAAGUUGCAAGAGGCUCAGUGGCGUCUUGAGGCACAGUGGCAUGAAGAGAGUCGGCGGAGAAGAGCUGGAGUGACGUGUUUGGAAAUAUCAAUCAGGCAGCUGUUCUGCGGACGAAGAGGAAUUUGAACUUGUCACCUUAGCGGGUCCAGGCUGGACUCUCCGCCUUCACUGACUCCCCGGACUUUCAGGGAGCAGCAGGACCCCCGGCCUUCCCUCUCCAGUCGGUGGCUGCUCAGGUCGGAACCCUGGCGACAUCCUCGGCUCAGCUCCUCCGCUCGCCAACCGCUGCUCUGUCAGGAAACCCAUCGGCUGCACUUUCAAAAUGCGCCUAGAAUCUUCUCCCCACGUCCACGUGCCCAGCCUCGUCCAGGACGCGGUCAUCUCUUGCCACAGCCCCUAACCCUGUUCUGCCCCUCUGCUCACCUCUGCCACUCCCCACCCCCAGCCUCUUCUUGCACAGCGGCCAGAGUGAUCCUGUUACAAUGUCAGUCAGGUCAUGUCACCAUUCAGCUCAAAACCCUGCGAUGGCUCCAUCUCUUGCUGAGUAGAAGCCACAGUCUGUGUGGUGGCCUGAGGGCCCAACGUGGUCUACCCUCCAGCCCCCCACCCCCAGCACUGCAGCCCUCAUCUCACCUGCUGUGCUCAGGCCUCCGUGCUUGUCUUCAAACUCUUCAGGCAAGUGCUUGCCUCAGGGCCUUUGCACUGGCUGUUCCCGUGCCCGGCAUGCUCUUCCUCCAGGUAGGCUCACUGCCUUCACACCCACUGCUUUCACAUCGUCAUUCAGAGGCGUCUUCUCAGUGAGGCUGCCUGAUCGCUCUAGUCAUCUCCUGGGGCUGCCGUAAUAAAGUGACACAGACUAGGCGGCUGAAGUAACAGGAAUUUACUGCCUCACGGUUCUGGAGGCCGUGAGUCUGAGAUCAGGGUGUCGGCAGCGUGGGUUCCUCCUGAGGGCAGUGGGG
rnacentral:lncRNA from 1 species